rnacentral:rRNA from 1 species
GACGAACGCUGGCGGCGUGCUUAACACAUGCAAGUCGAACGAUGAAGCCGGAGCUUGCUCUGGUGAAUUAGUGGCGAACGGGUGAGUAACACGUGAGUAACCUGCCCUUGACUCUGGGAUAACUGCGGGAAACUGUAGCUAAUACCGGAUACGACCCUCGGAGGCAUCUCCUGGGGGUGGAAAGAAUUUCGGUCAAGGAUGGACUCGCGGCCUAUCAGCUAGUUGGUGAGGUAAAGGCUCACCAAGGCGACGACGGGUAGCCGGCCUGAGAGGGUGACCGGCCACACUGGGACUGAGACACGGCCCAGACUCCUACGGGAGGCAGCAGUGGGGAAUAUUGCACAAUGGGCGCAAGCCUGAUGCAGCGACGCCGCGUGAGGGAUGACGGCCUUCGGGUUGUAAACCUCUUUCAGCACCGACGAAGCGCAAGUGACGGUAGGUGCAGAAGAAGGACCGGCCAACUACGUGCCAGCAGCCGCCGUAAUAC